rnacentral:rRNA from 1 species
CCCUACGGGAGGCAGCGGUAGGGAAUCUUCCACAAUGGACGAAAGUCUGAUGGAGCAACGCCGCGUGAGUGAAGAAGGGUUUCGGCUCGUAAAGCUCUGUUGGUAGUGAAGAAAGAUAGAGGUAGUAACUGGCCUUUAUUUGACGGUAAUUACUUAGAAAGUCACGGCUAACUACGUGCCAGCAGCCGCGGUAAUACGUAGGUGGCAAGCGUUGUCCGGAUUUAUUUGGCGUAAAGCGAGUGCAGGCGGUUCAAUAAGUCUAAUUGGGAAACCUUUGGCUCCACCGGA